rnacentral:rRNA from 1 species
ACUUGAUUUUUAAAAAAAUACAAUGGCUGAAUAAUUUCCUUUAAUGAAAUAAAACUUUCAACAACGGACCUCUAGGCUCUUGCAUCGGUGAAGAACGCAGCGAAAGGCGAUAAGGAAUGUGAAUUGCAGAAUCUCGUGAAUCAACUCUUCUAUGAACGUCAUUGCGCCCUUCGGUGUCCCAGGGCAUGCGUGUCUCAGCGUC